rnacentral:rRNA from 1 species
GACGAACGCUGGCGGCGUGCCUAAUACAUGCAAGUCGAGCGGACUUGACAGAGCUUGCUCUGUUCAAGUUAGCGGCGGACGGGUGAGUAACACGUGGGCAACCUGCCCUGCAGAUUGGGAUAACUCCGGGAAACCGGGGCUAAUACCGAAUAACAUUGGAAACCUCAUGGUUUCCUUUUAAAAGGCGGCUUCGGCUGUCACUGCAGGAUGGGCCCGCGGCGCAUUAGCUAGUUGGUGAGGUAACGGCUCACCAAGGCGACGAGGCGUAGCCGACCUGGGAGGGUGAUAGGCCACACUGGGACUGAGACACGGCCCAGACUCCUACGGGAGGCAGCAGUAGGGAAUCUUCCGCAAUGGACGAAAGUCUGACGGAGCAACGCCGCGUGAGUGAAGAAGGUUUUCGGAUCGUAAAACUCUGUUGUCAGGGAAGAACAAGUACGGUAGUAACUGCCCGUACCUUGACGGUACCUGGCCAGAAAGCCACGGCUAACUUCGUGCCAGCCGCCGCAGUAAAAC